AAGUCGUAUAAGGUUGACUUGCAGCACAAGACUUGUUCUUGUAAAGCAUGGCAAUUAGAGAAACUUCCAUGCAAACAUGCAUGUGCAUGUUUGGAGUCAAAAGGAUACUCAGUAUAUGAGUUUGUUGAUCCAUGCUUUCAUAUUGAUACGUACAAACAGGUAUAUCAAUUCACGAUUAACCCAAUUCCCUCGUUUGAUGAGGACUUUGACUUGUACGAUGCGUGUAAUGCUCCGCCCGAUGUCUUUGUUAAUGCACCUGAUUCGAGAACUCGACCGGGACGUAGAAAGACAAAAAGAAUUCCUUCACAAGUGCAAACUCGUAAACUGAAGUGUACUCGGUGUGGGAAGCCUGGACACAAUCGUCGUACUUGCACACAACCAAUCUGACUAGCAAUUUUUUUUAAUGGAGGACAAGAUGGAGGAGAGCUUACAUGAUUGCCCAUUAUGUUAUUCAAGUGAUUGAAGUGAAUGAAAACUGGCUGUUUGUACUUUAUUAUUAUGUGAUUUGCACUAUGUUGUUUUGAACUUUGUACUAUGUUUCAAUUUGCACUAUGUUUUUGCUAUUUGUAGUUUGUACUAUGUAUUAGGUACUCUGUUCAUUGAUGGUUUAUCAUUUUCAGUCUAA